AACGAACGCUGGCGGCAGGCUUAACACAUGCAAGUCGAGCGCAUCCUUCGGGGUGAGCGGCGGACGGGUGAGUAACGCGUGGGAACGUGCCCUCUUCUACGGAAUAGCCUCGGGAAACUGAGAGUAAUGCCGUAUACGCCCGCAAGGGGAAAGAUUUAUCGGAGGAGGAUCGGCCCGCGUUGGAUUAGGUAGUUGGUGGGGUAACGGUCUACCAAGCCGACGAUCCAUAGCUGGUUUGAGAGGAUGAUCAGCCACACUGGGACUGAGACACGGCCCAGACUCCUACGGGAGGCAGCAGUGGGGAAUCUUGGACAAUGGGGGCAACCCUGAUCCAGCCAUGCCGCGUGAUCGAUGAAGGCCUUAGGGUUGUAAAGAUCUUUCAGCUGGGAAGAUAAUGACGGUACCAGCAGAAGAAGCCCCGGCUAACUCCGUG
rnacentral:rRNA from 1 species